AGUCGGAGCGAAGCGGCUGGCGGAGCAGAACGGAUUGCAGGCAGGCCCCCCAGUCCUGGGUGCAGGCUUGUGACGGCUGCUCAGGGAUCCAAACGUGGCCCCUGAGCUCUCUGCGAUGUGUUCCACAGUUCCCUGGAGGCAGAUGCCGCGUGAGGGUCAGCCAUGUCAUCUGAGCCUCCCCCACCACCACAGCCCCCCACCCAUCAAGCUUCAGUCGGGCUGCUGGACACCCCUCGGAGCCGUGAGCGCUCACCAUCCCCUCUGCGGGGCAACGUGGUCCCAAGCCCACUGCCCACUCGCCGGACGAGGACCUUCUCGGCGUGAGUCUGGAGCGGGCAGGGGACGCGUUCUCAGAUGGAUCUCUUGCCUGAGGCCAGAGAUUCACUGUGUCUCUGGUCAUUUUUGGGCCUAUGUCCCGGACUGUCAAAUAGGCAGACCUGGGGCUGGGCUGAGGGUGAGAAACUAGGAAGGCGCCUUGUAAAUUCAGGGUACUGCCUAGCCCAAAAGAACCUGUUACCAGCUGGGAGUGGCAAUGGGUGGGCAAUUGCUGAGGUCAGAAUCGCUGGGCUUU
rnacentral:sRNA from 1 species